UACAGAGGUCCCGAGCGUUGUUCGGAUUCAUUGGGCGUAAAGGGCGCGUAGGCGGCUUGAUAAGUCACUUGUGAAAUCCCGUUGCUCAACGACGGGGCCGCAGGUGAGACUGUCUGGCUGGAGCUUGGUAGGGGCGAGUGGAAUUCCCGGUGUAGCGGUGGAAUGCGUAGAUAUCGAGAGGAACACCUGCGGCGAAGGCGGGUUGCUGGGCUGACACUGACGCUGAAGCGCGAAAGCUAGGGGAGCGAACGGG
rnacentral:rRNA from 1 species